ACAGAGCGCCCUCGCCCACCCGAGUCCGGGGCGGCGCGGGGAGACAUCGUGGGGCCGCCCGCCGCGCGAGACCGCACGGCCGUGGGUGCGCCGAUAUGGGGGCGCUGCCCCGAUGCGCAGCCCCGCGCGGUUCCCGGAGGCGCGUCGCGGCUGACAAGGUGCUGCGUGCCGGGCUUUGGGGGCGUUCCGGGCUCAGCCCUUCCAGCUCUGGUGGGGGGGGGCGGUGGUUUGCGGAGCUGGACCCGCUGACACCCCCGCCCGCCCCGGGGCUGCGCUAGGAAUUGGAGGGAGCCGGUGGGGGCAGAGCUGAGGAGCGGUGUUGCGCUACGGGUAAUUUUCCUGGGGAACAAAAAGUCUGUGUCCUGGGCGGCCCUGGAAGUCACAAUGGGCGGGGGUCGGGGUGGGCGGGUGCAGGGGUGCGUAAAAACCCGGCCCAGGGCUGAGGCCCCGCUAGCAGAGGACCGGGCUUGCGGGAGGCGGAAGAAUCUCGGUGUUUACAGAACACGUUCCAGGGUCCAGGUUGUGUGUGGCCUGGGAACCCGUGGAGAUGAACGGGACAUCCUUAAGAAUCCUGAAGGAGCACUUAAGUGAGAGCGAGAAUGAAUUGCAGCGAAUCAGAAGGGCUGAAAUAGAGACGCAGCAGUGCUAUGGGAGCACGAGUUACUGAGGUCCUGGCUCUAAGGCUCAGCAGCUUCCCUCUCACAGUACCUGACGGAAUUGCCUCAUGCAGUCGUGCUUUUCUGGAAGGAUGGGAGAAAGGAGAAGAGGGAGAUAUGGAAGGAAGGGGAGAAGGACCUGCAGAUAACACCCCCUUGUUGCCUCUCCUCGACUCCCCUUUUCCCUCCAUCUACCUCGAAGAGUUGCUGACCUGUGCCGUAAAUGUUGAACUCCUCUACGCAUAUUAAAGCUUAAAAAAAGAAAAUCCCAGUGCUUGUGUCUUGCAAUUCUACACAAAGAAUUAAGUUUUGCUGUUAAUAACUGUUUAGUAUGGGGGGUGCCUGGGUGGCUCAGUCGGUUAAGUGUCUGACUCUUGGUUUUGGCUCAGGUCAUGAUCUCAUGGUUCGUGGGAUCAAGCCCUGCGUUGGGCUCUGUGCUGACAGCAUGGAGCCUCCUUGGGAUUCUCUCUUUCCCUCUCUCUGCGCCCCCCCCCCCCCCCC